rnacentral:tRNA from 5 species
GGCCGGGUAGCCAAGUAGCUAAGGCAUUGGUCUGCAAAACCAAUAUACAUGGGUGCAAUUCCCAUCCCGGCCUCAA